rnacentral:misc_RNA from 1 species
AACGCACAUUGCGCCCGCCAGUAUUCUGGCGGGCAUGCCUGUUCGAGCGUCAUUUCAACCAUCAAGCCCUAGGCUUGUGUUGGGGCCCUGCGGCUGCCGCAGGCCCUGAAAAACAGUGGCGGGCUCGCUGUCACACCGAGCGUAGUAAAACAUCUCGCUUUGGACGUGCGGCGGGUUCUUGCCGUUAAACCCCCCCCUUCUCAAGGUUGACCUCGGAUCAGGUAGGAAUACCCGCUGAACUUAA